GAAUUUGCAUAGGUCGUAAGUUUUACGGUUCAUGCGAGCCCAGAGCAGCACGAUGACCUCUGAUUCCGACAUGGACGUGCCGAGAAUUUUUGACUUUAGUUUGAUAUCCUCGAUGAACGAUAUAAAUGAUUCCUCUGGCUUUUGCCACCGGUGUAGAUGUUCGGACACUAGAAGAGAGCGGUCGGCUGGACCAAAGAAAUCAUCGAGUAUGCGGCCUCGAAUUACUUCCCAUGAUGGAGCAUAUUUAAUAUUGUGGGCCCACCAUCUCUGGAAGUCACCUUCACAAAAUUGAAUGAGGUGGGUCAUAAGAGGUUUUUCGUGGAGGAUGCCAAGAUCUGAUAAUUUUUCUACGUCCUCCAUGAAUUGAAUGAUACCAGCUUUGGAAAUGCCGUCACACUUCGAAACGUUUUUAAAAAAGGUUCAACUAAACCCUGAGCGUGGGGCGAUUGGGGAAUAUUUCGACUUAGACUACAUAACAACUCACCCAUAUUUAUCAAUUGGUUCUCCAUGGCCUGAAGACGAUGUUGGUUGUCAGCACUAAGUUCGGUUUGGGUUCUUAUAAAGUCAAACACACGUGAUGGAGGCGAUUGAUGUGUCGAAGUUGAUGGAGCUGUUGACGUUGAGAAUGUGGUGGCUGUUGUGGACGUCGAUGUUGAAGGCGCCGUCGUGAAAUCGAGCCAUGGAAGUUGGUUGACUACUGUAGUUGGCGGCGGUGCGACGGGUACUGACAUUGUUGUUGGCGGCGUUGUGAAGCCCGGAGAAGUCACCUCGGGUUGUGGAUUACAGCUGGUGGCGGGUGUGAAUAUGCGUCCGCUCCUGGUGUCCGGCAUGUUAGACUCCGCGAUUGUUCAACGAUUGUAUAUAUAACGCUGAUUGAAAAUUACGCCAUUUACCAUACGCUUUGCUACCAUAAAACGAUUCUCAAUUUAGUUAGAGAAACGAAUAUAUAUAAGAUGUCGCAGUGGAAGUCUUUUUGUUGAUCGGACGGGUUAUGGCGCGCAAUUUCAAGAGAAGAUCUACUAAAUCGAUAUUAGUUAUAUGGAGUUGGCACUACUGUAUUUGGUACAACUUAAGUGUCAAUGGAUUUGAACAAACGACAACACAACUUAAUAUUAAUAUUGGCGAUGGUGAUUCCUGGAAUACAUAUACAUAUGCACAUUCGGUCAAGGGCCGUUUGCCGUUACAGUACGGGCGAGAUGUAUGGAUCUUCGAAUCAAUUGGAUCGUCUUCACCACCACCUGGUGCCGUGAAAUUGAGAGUGGUUGUCCCUUGUCGUUAAUAUGCGGCUAUUGGCCAACACUAAUGGGACAAGGGCCACUCGACGGGUUGAUUAAUGGAUGCACCCGGAAUCACCACACACGAAUAUGUCCUUUUUGGCCGAUAAUUAGUUUGGUAAAGAAAAAAGAAAAAAUCAGAUAAAUGCAGACUUACAUAUUCAUUAACGAAACGGGACCGGGGGCUGAACAACCGGACGGCCAGGAGAGAUUCGCAGCAGCACACAGCGGAUUCACUGGGUGAUCCUCGAGCCUUGGAUCCAGGAGGGUAUUAUCCGAGUGGAAAUAUGAGUAUCGUCUCAA